rnacentral:rRNA from 1 species
UACGAAGGGUGCAAACGUUAUUCGGAAUCACUGGGCGUAAAGGGUGCGUAGACGGUUUAUUAAGUUCGUUGUUAAAGGCUCCGGCCCAACCGGAGUAUUGCGAUGAAAACUGGUAAACUAGAGGAUGAGAGAGAGAAGUGGAAUUCCCGGAGUAGCGGUAAAAUGCGUGGAUCUCGGGAGGAACACCAAUGGCGAAGGCAGCUUCUUGGCUCAUAUCUGACGUUGAGGCACGAAAGCGUGGGGAGCAAACAGG